GGGGGCGAACUGGCUUCGACGGGGAUAGUGAAGCUUAGGCUGCAUACCGAGGUUCCAUCUGCUCGUAAAACAGGUGGGCUAAACACAGACGCAGACGAUUAUGCGUAUGCCCUAGCCGCGUAAUGACGGCUAGCGUCCCUUUGAUCUUUGCCUGCGGGAUCAAACGGGGCGUCGGCUAGCAGGCUAGCUAAGCCGAUGAACCUGUGCGUCGGUGAGGCGAAAGGCUACACAGGUUAGCCCUUUGGCGCCCUUGCCCGAUAGGAACCCAGAGGGCGAACAUUUUGUAUCGGGCUAUGUAUGUAGACGCCUAAGUGGAAUAUUUCCGGACGGGGGUUCGACUCCCCCCGCCUCCACCA
rnacentral:tmRNA from 1 species